GCACAAUUUUACAUGAAACAUUACAUGACAACAUAGGAAAUAUAUAUUUUCUAUGUUGGUUAGUGACACAUAAUUCCAAAAAGCAUCUCCUCCAGAAUUAUAAGUCAUUUUAUGACUAGGCACAGCUUUUGAAAAAUGCUUUCGAUGAAAAACAAACUUCCCAUUUUCAUCAUCAUCCUAAUGAUCAACACCUAAGCCCUUAUUUUGGGAUAUAUAAGCCAAGUAUAACUGGGAAAAUAUCAAAUCAGUUUGGGACUUGCUGAAAACUGUGAACCAGGAGCUGCAGAAAAAACUUAGACAAGAUGAUUCACGAAUUUUAUAACAAUGAGUUCGAUCGACUUUCCACACAAAUUGCACCACUGAUUGUUAUUGAGGGAGAGUAUCGAGAGGAUGAGCGUUCUGGAGUUUCAUAUGAUUUACACAUGCGAGAG